CCUACGGGAGGCAGCAGUGGGGGAUAUUGCACAAUGGGGGGAACCCUGAUGCAGCGACGCCGCGUGGGUGAAGAAGCGCCUCGGCGCGUAAAGCCCUGUCAGCAGGGAAGAAAAUGACGGUACCUGCAGAAGAAGCCCCGGCUAACUACGUGCCAGCCGCCGCGGUAAUACGGAGGGGGCAAGCGUUAUCCGGAUGUACUGGGUGUAAAGGGGGCGCAGGCGGCGGUGCAAGCCAGGAGUGAACGCCCGGGGCCCAACCCCGGGACUGAUCUUGGAACUGCGUGGCUGGAGGGCAGGAGGGGCAGGCGGAAUUCCUGGGGUAGCGGUGAAAUGCGUAGAUAUCAGGAGGAACACCGGUGGCGAAGGCGGCCUGCUGGACUGCAACUGACGUUGAGGCCCGAAAGCGUGGGGAGCAAACAGGAUUAGAUACCCUAGUAGUC
rnacentral:rRNA from 1 species